rnacentral:rRNA from 1 species
CAUUACCAGUAGACGGUCCAUGGCUUCGGCCUGGUCCUCUCACCCUUUGCGUAUCUUCUGAACGUUCCUUUGGCGGUCUUAGUGCUGUUCAGUACUGUCAGUACUGAAUUCCAGCUAUUGCCGCCAGAGAUUAUUAAACCAUGUUUUUAGUGAUUGUCUGAGUGAAUUACAAACAAAUAAAACUUUCAACAACGGAUCUCUUGGUUCCAGCAUCGAUGAAGAACGCAGCGAAAUGCGAUAGCUAGUGUGAAUUGCAGAUUUCCGUGAAUCAUCGAGUUUUUGAACGCACAUUGCGCUCUCUGGUAUUCCGGAGGGCAUGUCUAUUCGAGCGUCGUCGUCACCCUCAAGCCCUGCUUGGUUAUGGGGAACGUGCUGCCCCGCGCGGCGCCUCCCUCAAAUGCAAUAAAAACGCCCCUGACAAAGGAAACGCAGUAAAUUGUUGUUUUCUAGGGCCGUUGGAAGCGCCCUUGUGCGCGAUGCCUUUCGUUUGACCUCGAAU